UCGAGGAUCUUCGGCAAUGGGCGCAAGCCUGACCGAGCGACGCCGCGUGUGCGAUGAAGGCCUUCGGGUUGUAAAGCACUGUCGAGGGGGAGGAAGCCGCAAGGUUGACCUAUCCCUGGAGGAAGCACGGGCUAAGUUCGUGCCAGCAGCCGCGGUAAGACGAACCGUGCAAACGUUGUUCGGAAUCACUGGGCUUAAAGGGCGCGUAGGCGGGCGGUCAAGUCUGGGGUGAAAUCUUUCGGCUCAACCGGAAAAUAGCCUUGGAUACUGACUGUCUAGAGUGAGGUAGGGGCAUGUGGAACUUCCGGUGGAGCGGUGAAAUGCGUUGAUAUCGGAAGGAACGCCGGUGGCGAAAGCGACGUGCUGGACCUCUUCUGACGCUGAGGCGCGAAAGCCAGGGGAGCAAACGGGAUUAGAUACCCCGGUAGUCC
rnacentral:rRNA from 1 species